rnacentral:rRNA from 1 species
AUUGAACGCUGGCGGCAGGCCUAACACAUGCAAGUCGAACGGUAACAGGAAGAAGCUUGCUUCUUUGCUGACGAGUGGCGGCCGGGUGAGUAAUGUCUGGGAAACUGCCUGAUGGAGGGGGAUAACUACUGGAAACGGUAGCUAAUACCGCAUAACGUCGCAAGACCAAAGAGGGGGACCUUCGGGCCUCUUGCCAUCGGCUGUGCCCAGAUGGGAUUAGCUAGUAGGUGGGGUAACGGCUCACCUAGGCGACGAUCCCUAGCUGGUCUGAGAGGAUGACCAGCCACACUGGAACUGAGACACGGUCCAGACUCCUACGGGAGGCAGCAGUGGGGAAUAUUGCACAAUGGGCGCAAGCCUGAUGCAGCCAUGCCGCGUGUAUGAAGAAGGCCUUCGGGUUGUAAAGUACUUUCAGCGGGGAGGAAGGGAGUAAAGUUAAUACCUUUGCUCAUUGACGUUACCCGCAGAAGAAGCACCGGCUAACUCCGUG